UGGGGAAUAUUGCGCAAUGGGCGAAAGCCUGACGCAGCAACGCCGCGUGAGUGAUGAAGGCCUUCGGGUCGUAAAGCUCUGUCGGAGGGAACGAAUGCUCCUGAAGUUAACAGCCUCAGGAGGUGACGGUACCCUCAAAGGAAGCACCGGCUAACUCUGUGCCAGCAGCCGCGGUAAUACAGAGGGUGCAAGCGUUGUUCGGAAUCAUUGGGCGUAAAGGGCGUGUAGGCGGUAUGUUAAGUCAUGUGUGAAAUCUCCGGGCUUAACUCGGAACGGUCAGAUGAUACUGCUUUGCUAGAGUGCAGAAGGGGCAAUCGGAAUUCUUGGUGUAGCGGUGAAAUGCGUAGAUAUCAAGAGGAACACCUGAGGUGAAGACGGGUUGCUGGGCUGACACUGACGCUGAGGCGCGAAAGCCAGGGGAGCAAACGGGAUUAGAUACCCAAGUAGUCCCUGAGCGGGCUGGCAAGGCGCAU
rnacentral:rRNA from 1 species